rnacentral:rRNA from 1 species
CAACGCCGCGUGGGGAUGAAGCUUUCGGUAGGUGGUAAAAACCCCCUUUCCGUUACCCGGAAGAAGGUAGCCCGUCAAGGGUUGGACCGUACGGUAUAAGAAGCCCCCGGCUAACUACGUGC